rnacentral:tRNA from 1 species
ACCUGGGUGGCUCAGUGGUUGAGCAUCUGCCUUUGGUUCAGGUCAUGAUGUGGAAUCAAGUCCCACAUCAGGCU